rnacentral:lncRNA from 1 species
UCAGGUACUUGAGCUGUCAGCAUCAGGGGGCGUCUUUUUACGUCUGGCGGCUUACUAUUGGUGAUGCCGGUGACCGCAGACACAGAAAAGAUUUCAAAAUCAUACAAGCGAACGUCGUCGCCGCGUGCUGUGUCUGUCUGUGUGAAUAUGGCUGCCUACCUGGAAGACGUAGAUAUUCAGACGGGCGAGUCAUGCUUGAAUUUUGCUCGAAAGCAAAGUCCGCUCCUUCAGUUCGAAA